UAUUCAGCGUGGAAGGGAAACAGUAGCGGAGCGGAGCUUCGAUGCCAGAGAGCCGGCGGCAGGUGCGAGCCGGUACGACAGCCGCCCGUGAAUUACGUCCUGGAGCAUCCUCAUCCGAACCUGCCUGCGGCAGAAGGCUGAGGACGGAAGCCGACCGAUAUCCGGCAUGAGCGGAGCUUCUGCUGCCAGGCCAUUUGGCUCUGGAGAGGCUCAACCUAGGGUGGUACCGCGAUGACUCGUCCCUGUU
rnacentral:ncRNA from 1 species